rnacentral:rRNA from 1 species
GACGAACGCUGGCGGCGUGCUUAACACAUGCAAGUCGAACGGAAAGGCCCUGCUUUUGUGGGGUGCUCGAGUGGCGAACGGGUGAGUAACACGUGAGUAACCUGCCCUUGACUUUGGGAUAACUUCAGGAAACUGGGGCUAAUACCGGAUAGGAGCUCCUGCUGCAUGGUGGGGGUUGGAAAGUUUCGGCGGUUGGGGAUGGACUCGCAGCUUAUCAGCUUGUUGGUGGGGUAGUGGCUUACCAAGGCUUUGACGGGCAGCCGGCCUGAGAGGGUGACCGGCCACAUUGGGACUGAGAUACGGCCCAGACUCCUACGGGAGGCAGCAGUGGGGAAUAUUGCACAAUGGGCGGAAGCCUGAUGCAGCAACGCCGCGUGCGGGAUGACGGCCUUCGGGUUGUAAACCGCUUUCGCCUGUGACGAAGCGUGAGUGACGGUAAUGGGUAAAGAAGCACCGGCUAACUACGUG